UGCAUGAUUCCGUAGCUUGCUGAGUGGACAGAGGUGGAAGUUGAAGAGAGAUUAAGCCGAAGAAGACGAAGGAGACAAAGAAAUUAAGCCUCAUCGUUCGUUGUUGUCUCUCUGUUUUUGGAUCUGAGAGAUGAAAGAGAGAAAGGAAAGUAAUGCAAGAGCAUGAUGAUGACGACGACGAUGAAUUAUAUAUAAGUUUAUGAGAUAGUGUUUUGGAAGAAGCAGGUUCCCCACUUACGUGGAUCAUUCCCUGGGCCCGGUUAGGCAGCGGUCCACUUCACCCGAGAGGUACUGUUCUUCUUUGUUGCAUUUAGAAAAAGAGUAAAAACCCCUGUUCGGGAAUGCGCUGGACCUAGCACAUAAACAAAAAAAUUGGGAUUAACCGAAAACUAUGCGGGACGGAAUUUUUAGAUUGUUUACUAUGUUAUAAAACAUGUUAAUCUUUAAUUGUGUAUAACAUUAAUACAUUUUCAUGUUUAAGAUUGUAUAAAACACACAAAUAGAA